AUUGCAGUAGGGAAUCUUCGGCAAUGGGCGAAAGCCUGACCGAGCGACGCCGCGUGAGGGAUUGAAGGCCUUCGGGUUGUAAACCUCUUUCGUAGAGGAGGAAGGGGCUGUGAAGAACAGUCCUUGACCUAUUCUAGGAAGAAGCUUGGGCUAAGUUCGUGCCAGCAGCCGCGGUAAGACGAACCAAGCGAACGUUAUUCGGAAUUACUGGGCUUAAAGCGCGUGUAGGCGGACUACCACGUUGGUUGUUGAAAUCCCCCGGCUUAACCGGGGAACUGGCACCAAUACGGGUAGUCUGGAGGUGGGUAGGGGAGACUGGAACUUCCGGUGGAGCGGUGAAAUGCGUUGAGAUCGGAAGGAACGCCCGCGGCGAAAGCGAGUCUCUGGACCCAUACUGACGCUGAGACGCGAAAGCCAGGGGAGCAAACGGGAUUAGAUACCCCGGUAGUCCUGGCUGUAAACAUUGGGCACUGGGUAGUGGAACCGCCGAUGGUUUCACUGCCGCAGGGAAACCGUGAAGUGCCCCGCCUGGGGAGUAUGGUCGCAAGGCUGAAACUCAAAGGAAUUGACGGAAUC
rnacentral:rRNA from 1 species